AAGAUAAAAAGAUUUUGCAUUCUCAAGUUGCCUAAUCCGCCAGAGAUAGUUUGACACAUCAUUAGAAAAAACAAAAAUCAACCGGAAGAGAUCGUUUGAACCGUUUUCGGAACGUUUUUGGAUCGUUCGCAUCGCAUUUCGUUAAUCACGGCGACGGCGACGCAGACAAAAAUGCUUGAGUUGCCCAUGCACUGCAUACUCAAACUCGAAUCCAAUUCAACAAACUGCCUCAACAGACUGCCAGCAGUAGCUGUGGACACCAGAGAGAACCUGAACAUUGCCAUGGAUAAAUAACAUCAGUAAUUUGUCCUGUUACACCAUAUCGAGAAGUUAUCCAAUGAGAAAGCCGCUUAAAUUUUGGAAGAUCUAUGAUGGACGACAGAGAAGAAUAACGCUUUGUUUGUGAAAUACUUUUUGAACGCAAGCAAGGAUUAUUAAACGAAAACCAAACCAAACAAAAAACGGAAGAGAAAAAAUAAGAAACAAA